GACGAACGCUGGCGGCGUGCUUAACACAUGCAAGUCGAACGGAAAGGCCCCUUUGGGGGUACUCGAGUGGCGAACGGGUGAGUAACACGUGAGUAACCUGCCCUUGACUUCGGGAUAACUUCAGGAAACUGGGGCUAAUACCGGAUAGGAAUCCUUGCUGCAUGGUGGGGGUUGGAAAGCUUCGGCGGUUUUGGAUGGACUCGCGGCUUAUCAGCUUGUUGGUGGGGUAGUGGCUUACCAAGGCUUUGACGGGUAGCCGGCCUGAGAGGGCGACCGGCCACAGUGGGACUGAGAUACGGCCCAGACUCCUACGGGAGGCAGCAGGGGGGAAUAUUGCACAAUGGGCGGAAGCCUGAUGCAGCAACGCCGCGGGCGGGAGGACGGCCUUCGGGUUGGAAACCGCUUUCAGCAGGGGCGAAGCUUGUGGUGACGGUACCUGCAGAAGAAGCACCGGCUAACUACGUG
rnacentral:rRNA from 1 species